rnacentral:ncRNA from 1 species
ACUUUAGUGAUGAUAAAGAAUAGUAAGUAUUUUAAACCGUUAUAGAGAGUUUGUGGCUGGUGAAAACAAACACGGAAAAAUACCGAAUGGACUUUUGAGCUUCUAUCUGAACUUCUUUGUAAUAGUAGGAAUAGACGUAUCCCUGCGUUAAAGGGAAUCCAAAUAUAUUGGCCGCAGUAAUUUGGAACUGAGUGACUCUUUGGAGUAAUGUAGGGUGGUACCGCGAACCAUUCGUCCCUAGU